CCUUCACUUUAGAACUAAGCUACACUCUCUAAACCAGUGAUUCCCAACCGCGGUGCCGCGGCACACGUGUGUGCCGUUCGCCACUGGCCGUGGUGCCGCGGGAUUUUGCUGUGAUUUUUAUUUUUUAUUUUUUUUAAAUAUCCCGCCCCGGCCUGCGCGCUUAUGACUGGCGGCGCAGGGGGGAAGGGAAGCCUGUGUGCGCACUGCGCACACAGCGUCCCCCUCCCCACUGCGUCCACUGCGUCCCCUGUGUCCCCCUCCCCACUGCAUCCCCUGCGUCCCCCUCCGCACUGCGUCCCCUGCGUUCCCCUCCCCACUGCGUUCCCUGCGUCCCCCUCCCCACUGCGUCCCCUGCGUCCCCCUCCCCACUGCGUCCCCUGCGUCCCCCUCCCCCUUCUACCUUGCAGUGCAGUGGGACGAAAAUGGGUCCCUGGGGCGGAACGAUCUUCACCUGCGCCGGACUCCCGUGCCUGCCAUGGACCUGCAAAGCUGCGCGGACCGGCUUGCUUAAGGUUUAACGGUGAAAAAUUGUGUGUGGAAGAAAUCGUGAUGAUGGCCCGGACAAGAUGGAGAAGAGAAGACAACAUUGCAAAUUAGAGAAGACUUCAUUGGUUUAACGGUGAAAAAUUGUGUGUGGAAGAAAUCGUGAUGAUGGCCCGGACAAGAUGGAGAAGAGAAGACAACAUUGCAAAUUAGAGAAGACGUCAUUGGUUUAACGGUGAAGAAUUGUGUGUGGAAGAAAUCGUGAGGAUGGCCCGGACAAGAUGGAGAAGAGAAGACAACAUUGCAAAUUAGAGAAGACGUCAUUGGU